rnacentral:lncRNA from 1 species
UAAACACUCAAAUAGGGCUACUACGCUUACGUCCAACGCUCACGUCACACCAUAAUGCGGCUAUAUGCUACGCCAUUAAGGUGGACAGACACAUAUGGCUAGCUAGCAUUUUCUAUACAUACUCUCUCAUAAAUACAUAUUUAUAUCCAUCGAAAAUCCCAUUUUCGGUAUCUCUCCAAGAGAAAUAAAAAUCGUCAAAAAUUAAAAUGACGUCAAAAAUACUCCACGACAUUAAUUAUUCAAUCGUGAACUUUAGCAUGCAUUUAUUUAAAAUAAACGUCCACUCACAAAUUAGGCCUAAGCCUGCUGUCGAUCUGGGGUCUCGUCUGCUAGAGUCUCCUCACGUCCUGUUCCAAAUAAAAUAUUAAUUUCCCAUCCAAUAAUCCAAUAUUUAAUCAAAAUAGGCAAAAUUACCCGAGAGCCAUAAUUACGCUCAUCAUUGCCUAACUUCGAUAUUCUUACAUCGGAACGAUCCGAACUUAAAUAUCAUACUCAAUAGUCGUAAAUACAACCUCCCCAAAAUACGACUUAAAUCCAACGGCCGGAUUCUACAUUAAUUACCCGCCAAAAAUACCACACUUCGGAAAUUCACAAACCUAUCCAAAUCUCAUCCAAAAAUUCCAUAAAUCACACCAAUAUACUCCUCUUAAACCCUAAAAAUCUCCUAACCGGCGGCGGCGCCGCCGGCGGCCGGCAGCCGUUUUCCGGCGACCUGCAAACGCUACCAAAUUUUAACAGAAUCUUCCUCUCAAUCUCCUCUACAACUUUCAUGACCAACACAUCACCCAAUUCCAAGCCUAACUAGGCUAAUCGAACGAAAAUAACUUAAAAGCCUAGAAAUUUCAACUCCACAUUUCUCCUUACCUAGCUCAAGAGGGAGGGAGCUGCUUGGAGGGGUUGUUGCACGGGAGGAGGGCUACAAAACCGUACCAAGCUUGCCCGGAUUGGUGGCCGGAGGAGGAAGUUCCGGCGAAGGGAAGCUCGGGGCAGCCCUUGCUUUCGGGCGGCACCGCUCUCUCACGGCGGCGCUAGGGCUCCUCUCACCGGUCUAGAAAUGUUGCUGGGAGGGAGACCGACCGAACGGGACCGGUCCGGACGGCGAACGGAGGUCGGACGGCGGCGGGAGGACGGCCGGAAUUCUGCUGGGUGUAGAGAGAAGAAAAUCGGGUGGGAGGAGAAGAAAAAAUCGGGAGGGAGGGAGAAGAGAAAGAAGAAGAAAUGGGUUGGGCUCGGCCCAGCCGACCCAACACCCCUUUUAACCCAUAACUUCCAAAAAUUCAACACCCCGAAAAAUAAUACCCGAAUAAAAAUUACCUUUUAC